GCCACACAAUGAGGCAGUGGCUAAUGCUACACACAAGAAAGUGAAGAGAAAAUCAUCUUCAUCAUCAUCAGGUGCCAAGAAAAGGAAGAAGACAACAACCAGUACUUCAACAAGUACUGCUAGCAGAUCUGGAACUGGAUCUAAUGAUCCUGUGCCUCUCCAAGUUCUGCCUCUUGUUCUGCCUGCUGGCCAGCACAUACAGCGCUCACACCAAUGAAGAAAUAUGGUGUCACGAAGAAGCUAACACCAAAAAGGGCGCCAGUUCAGGUUGACAGCCCGGCCAGCCCAGCUGCAAAUACUAGAAGCAAGAUGAAACUGAAGCUUGAAUAAAAUGUGAUUGAUGAGUGUUAUUUUGUUCUGUAAUAUUAUGCAAUGGAGUUGUAUUUAAGACACUUUAGUUUCGAUGACCAGUCCUGUGGAGAUGGAAACUAGUAACUUAGGUGCUUAAAUGUUGGUGCAAUGAACAAGUACUUUGUGAUGUUAUUUGUUACUGUGAAUUGUUCC